GAUGAACGCUGGCGGCGUGCUUAACACAUGCAAGUCGAACGGAAAGGCCCAAGCUUGCUUGGGUACUCGAGUGGCGAACGGGUGAGUAACACGUGGGUGAUCUGCCCUGCACUUCGGGAUAAGCCUGGGAAACUGGGUCUAAUACCGGAUAGGACGAUGGUUUGGAUGCCAUUGUGGAAAGUUUUUUCGGUGUGGGAUGAGCUCGCGGCCUAUCAGCUUGUUGGUGGGGUAAUGGCCUACCAAGGCGUCGACGGGUAGUCGGCCUGAGAGGGUGUACGGCCACAUUGGGACUGAGAUACGGCCCAGACUCCUACGGGAGGCAGCAAUGGGGAAUAUUGCACAAUGGGCGCAAGCCUGAUGCAGCGACGCCGCGUGGGGGAUGACGGCCUUCGGGUUGUAAACUCCUUUCGCUAGGGACGAAGCGUUUUUGUGACGGUACCUGGAGAAGAAGCACCGGCUAACUACGUG
rnacentral:rRNA from 1 species